rnacentral:rRNA from 1 species
AGUAAUACGUAUCUAAUCUGCCCUUUAGAAAGGAACAACAGAUCGAAAGAUUUGCUAAUACCUUAUAUGAUAUACAUUCGCAUGAAAGUAUAUUUAAAGUUGCGUUUGCAACGCUUUAGGAUGAGGGUGCGGUUUAUCAGAUAGUUGGUGAGGUAAUGGCUCACCAAGUCAAUGACGAAUAGCUAUGCUAAGAGGUAGAAUAGCCACAAGGGGACUGAGACACGGCCCCUACUCCUACGGGAGGCAGCAGGG